rnacentral:rRNA from 1 species
UACGGAGGAUCCAAGCGUUAUCCGGAAUCAUUGGGUUUAAAGGGUCCGUAGGCGGUUUAGUAAGUCAGUGGUGAAAGCCCCAUCGCUCAACGGUGGAACGGCCAUUGAUACUGCUAGACUUGAAUUAUUAGGAAGUAACUAGAAUAUGUAGUGUAGCGGUGAAAAUGCUUAGAGAUUACAUGGAAUACCAAUUGCGAAGGCAGGUUACUACUAAUGGAUUGACGCUGAUGGACGAAAGCGUGGGUAG